UGGGGAUCAAGUUCCAGGCCAGUGUAGAGGUGGGCUUCCCAGCCUCAUAUAGAAAUUUCUACUGCAGUAAAAAUUUGCUUACAUAGUAACUUGUCUGCCUGUGUACAUUACUAAGCAGAGUUGGUACAACCACAACAUCCAGGAAAUACUAUUACAGCAGCAGGGCCUCCUAUCCACUGGACUACCUGCCUCAUAUCAAAAUUUCAACCGCAGUAAACAGAAAAUUUAGACAACCACAACAUGAGGAAAUACAAUUACAUCAGUAGUAAAAGAUCUCCUAGCGAAGAUAGUAGUAAACGCUGUCAUCUUUAGGAUGAAAUCCCGGGCCAGUUGUAGAGGUGGUGAGAUGGGCCUCCCAAUUCAACUACACUCCCUGGACCAUCAAAAUUACACACCUCCCAAUUCAACUACACUCCACCUCCAAAAAUUCAUAAAGAAAGAUGCUAGCUGGCAACUUUCCUUGUGUAUAAUGGUAAACUCUAGAAGAAUGCCGAGAAUAUCAUGGACAGAUAGUGAUAAAUGAGGUGUUAGCAAGAAUCGGAACACAGAGCCCUUGUAAAAGAAUUAAGGAAGAGACAAAUUAAUUACUAUGUUGGACAUAGAGCAUUUGUGCCUUACUGAAAGAAUAGAGGGAAGGAGAGCGAGAGGUAAACAGAGUAAAAUACUUGGACAGCUUGGUGGGAGACUUGGAUAGAGAUUACACUGUAAAUCAACUAAAGCAAGCGGCUACAGAUCGAGAGAGGUGGAGGCAAGUGACCGCCAACAUCUAAGACACUGACUUUGAUAGAUAGACAGAACUCGAGAAGCCCGUCAGUCUCUUGUGAUCCGUCAAAUGUAGGCAAGUACUAUAUGCUGCCUUGUGCAGGCAGCCAGUUCUGUAAGACUGAUCUUUGGUUAUAUAAACGACCACUCAAAUGUAGUCUGAUUAUCUCAUUCAAUACCACCACCAUUGUAUUUCGCCGAUCUUGAUACAGGUAAUGAAGAAUUACCCUUCAAUUCAUAUUUAGGUUAAACCAAGAAUUUUCCACCAUUCAGUUCAUUAGGAUAGUUAUGAAGAUCUGAUAAUUUGUGGAAAUUUUGUAAUUGAGAAUACAAUAGGAAUUGCAUCAGGAGAAAUUCAGGUUGCCAGUUCCUGGCCCAAAACGUCACACAACUCAGCACAGGGCCACUGACCCCCCCCCC